ensembl:lncRNA
CUCUGAGAAUAGUUAUGUAAGUCCAAGGAGGUCCAGAAUAUGGUGUAGAAGAUUUUAUAUAGGCCAGCUGACUUGGUCUCUGUACACUGGAGGCUUCCUGACUUCUCCUAAUUACAGAAGAUCUGGCACCAUGUGAAUUCUGGCUCUUCUUCAAAUGCAAAAUGAAAAUGAUAAGUAAACAUUUUGAAUCUGUUAAGAACAUGAAGGCAGCCAAGACAGCAGAACAAAAGACAUGAAAAAGAACUUCUAGAACUGCUUCAGAAAGUGACAAGAAUCAUAGAAUAAGUGUGCUUGAAGUGAAGGUGAGUAUUUUGAAGAAAAAUAAUGACAAUGUAUCUUUUACUCUAAUACAUUUUCAACCACACCUUGUAUAUAUACCGUAUACAACCAUAUGACAAGUUACAUACAGAAGCAGAGAUGGUACAUUUUAGUCCUUAUUUCCACUUUCAGUUUCUCAUACCAGAGAAACAGUGGCUAUCAGGAAAUGGGAAGAAAAUGCUCAAAU